GCCGGUUUAGCUUAGUGGUAGAGCGUUGCACUUGUAUCGAGGUACCGAGAUAUUUCAGUUACCAUGCAAAGGUCGGUUGUUCAAUCCAGCCAACCGGCA